rnacentral:lncRNA from 10 species
UCAGCUUAGGCCAGAGUCUUUCAAGAAAAAAAGUCUUAUUAGAGAAGUCUUCAUAUCUCGUGAGGAUGAAUUAAAAGCAGAAUCUCAACUUUGCUACCUUUAAAUGUCACGGAGAGAAAAAACUGCAAAACCAUGUGCAACAAUAUCCAUGAUAAAUCAUCUUUGAUCUCAACAUAACGGAGACUAUAAGGAGUAUAAAGACUAGAAGAAAGAGUAGAAGGUGAUCCACAAUCAAUUCAGAACCUGGUCUUCUAUGGUGGCUCACAGUUCCUGCACCCUACAAUAUCGUGAAUUUUCUUCCUCUUCAUCUAAUGACAUGAAUAUGCUCCAGUGGAUCCUAGGAUAUCUUUCACAUGAGGUUACCCUUGCCCUUUGGAUGUCAGGUGGAACAAAGGGAUGGAAGAUUUUUUGUACUGGGACAUUCAGUAAACCCCUAGGCCUACCUAUUGUCUAGUCAGAGUUAGAGAAGCAAAUGAUGUCUGUGAGGGCCUACAAGGCACAAGAGGAUGAAAGUUUAACUUAAAGUUUAGAUGCUGAUAUUCUAGCUAGUAAUAAUGUAUGAUUGCCUCAUGUACUACUCUUUUUUUAUAUUUCUCUCCUAAUGUAUAAAGAUGGAUUUCAAAAGAUAGGCAGCCUGGGAUUCAAAUUCUGAUCAUCUUUUCACUUUGUAAACUAAUGGAUAUAUUUUUUUAAAACAUUGUGUUUAAUACACGCCAAUGCCAAAGGCUUUCUACAGACUCAUGUGGAGUGGGAUGAUGCCCAGAAUGUCGAUAAAUUGACAGAAUAAUAUGAAGAACCCAACAGUCAUGUGCCAUGAAUUCUGCAGGCACAUUUGGACAUGAGUGUGAGCCAGAAGAUCAUUCUAUUUGGGAAAAUUUAAAUUGGGUGCAAGAAGCAUUAGCUAACAGUCUGAACCGAGGUAUGAUCCAAACUGAUAAAACUUGAUGAAGUUGGAAGAAGCAAAAGGGAGUUGGUAUGGAUCCUCAGAAUACGACAGAAACACAAGGAGUUUCAAGGGCAUUUGACAACAUGAAGUGCCAGCUAUAUUAGGGCACAGCAGAAAAAAAAUGUUUUCUGGACAGACUUAAUUUCUGAAGUGCCUUCUCCUCUUAUACUACCAUGGAAAUUACAGUGUUCUUCUGCUGUCUCAGCACCUUCCACAUUUAAAAAAAAAUCAUGCCUUUCCUUAUCUGUCUACCUAAUUAGACAUCCAUGGAUGAGAAAUGUGUCUAUGUAUCUUCAGUUUCUAUAUGUCCACUACAAUCCUCAUGCCUGGAACAGAGAGGUGUUCAAUAAAUCCAUGAACAAAAAGAAACUGAAGUUCUAAGGUCCAAACAAUGUUGAUUCUUUAUGAGCCAGUAGGGAUUUGCCUCUUUCUAAUUCCUCCUGGAGCACAAGUGUUCCCGGAAUCUGGAGCAGGGUUAAAAGCAGAGAUGAAUAAUGAUCCCCAUUGUAAAGUCCCAGGGAUCCAGAUAAGAUAAUAUGCCCCACUCCAGGGAGAAUAUAUAUACUUUUUUAUUAAGAAGACACAAGAAAUGGAAUGCAGCCUAUGUUUGUAAGCGGACUUUAAUAUUAAGCCCUCAAUAAAUAUUUGAUAAAUGAAUGAAUGAUUCUGUCCAAAGAGGUUAAUCAUUAAAAUGCUCAGAGGAGACCUCAGCAGGCCCUUGAAGAACACAGCAAUUUAAGAAGUAAAAAGGAGGAUGUAGGGGAAUGUUAGUCAGGGUCAAGCCAAACAUUGAAUUCAGCAUGGCAAAUGAAAUUUACUGUAAGUGGUCUCUGUGCUGAGAUACAUAUUACUGUUUGUGCAAAUUUAGUUCCGUUAACUUUUCCCAAAACUUCUUCACCACCUUAUCUUGGAGCUUAAUUCUAACUCUCUCUACUAUGUCCAU